AUGACGGUUACCAGGCUAUUACCA
rnacentral:siRNA from 1 species